AGAGUUUGAUCCUGGCUCAGGACGAACGCUGGCGGUGCGCCUAAUGCAUGCAAGUCGAACGGUCCCGAUUCGCUUCGGCUUAUCGGGGAAGUGGCGGACGGCUGAGUAACACGUAAGUGACCUGCCCCGAAGAGGGGGAUAAUCUUGAGAAAUCGAGUCUAAUACCCCGUACGUUUCCCGGAUUACGGUCCGGGAAGGAAAGGUUUCCACCUAUGGUGGGUUCCGCUUUGGGAGGGGCUUGCGGCUUAUCAGGUAGUUGGUGGGGUAACGGCCUACCAAGCCAGAGACGGGUAGCCGAUGUGAGAGCAUGACCGGUCAGAGGGGGACUGAGACACGGCCCCCACUCCUACGGGAGGCAGCAGCAGGGAAUCUUGCGCAAUGGGCUAAAAGGCCUGACGCAGCGACACCGCGUGGGGGAAGAAGGCUUUCGGGUUGUAAACCCCUUUUCUUGGGGAAGAGUGAGGACGGUACCCGAGGAAUAAGCAUCGGCUAACUACGUGCCAGCAGCCGCGGUAAUACGUAGGAUGCGAGCGUUGUCCGGAUUUACUGGGCGUAAAGGGCGAGUAGGCGGCCCGUCAAGUCUCAUGUGAAAUCUCCCGGCUCAACUGGGAGGGGUCAUGGGAAACUGGCGAGCUUGAGGUCAGCAGAG
rnacentral:rRNA from 1 species